rnacentral:lncRNA from 1 species
AUCAGGAAGCUCAAGUUUGUGAAGAUGAUAAUUUGAUCAACAUUGCUGGUCCAAUGACACGUUCAAGAAGAAAAAAAAUGCAAGAAGCCUUGAAGAAUUUGAUUAGCACAAGUCUUUCACUAGAAUGCUCCAAAGCCCACAAUGCGAAGUCCAGAAUUGUGAAUUUCAUGACCAUUUCAGAUCAUGGGCCAAUAAGGGCUAAUGGAUCAUAUUGGGUUGAUCAAGACAAUCAUUUUGGC